rnacentral:rRNA from 1 species
GACGUAGGAGGCAAGCGUUAUCCGGAUUUAUUGGGCGUAAAGGGCAAGUAGGCGGUUCUCAAAGUUGGGCUGACAUCUCCCGGCUCAACCGGGAGGGUGCGUUCAAAACUAGAGGACUAGAGGGCAGGAGAGGGAAGUGGAAUUCCUAGUGUAGCGGUGAAAUGCGUAGAUAUUAGGAGGAACACCAGUUGCGAAGGCGGCUCUCUGGACUGUAACUGACACUGAGGCACGAAAGCGUGGGGAGCAAACAGGAUUAGAUACCCGCGUAGUCCCUGAG